GAAUAUUGGACAAUGGGGGCAACCCUGAUCCAGCCAUGCCGCGUGUGUGAAGAAGGCCUUUUGGUUGUAAAGCACUUUAAGCAGUGAAGAAGACUCCAUGGUUAAUACCCAUGGACGAUGACAUUAGCUGCAGAAUAAGCACCGGCUAACUCUUUCCCAGCCGCCGCGGUAAUACAGAGGGGGCAAGCGUUAAGCGGAAUUACUGGGCGUAAAGCGAGCGUAGGUUGCUUGAUAAGUCAGAUGUGAAAUCCCCGGGCUUAACCUGGGAACUGCAUCUGAUACUGUUAGGCUAGAAUAGGUGGGAGGAAGGUAGAAUUCCAGGUGUAGCGGUGAGAUGCGUAGAGAUCUGGAGGAAUACCGAUGGCGAAGGCAGCCUUCUGGCAUCAUAUUGACACUGAGGUUCGAAAGCGUGGGUAGCAAAC
rnacentral:rRNA from 1 species